UACAGAGGGGGCAAGCGUUGUUCGGAAUUACUGGGCGUAAAGGGCGCGUAGGCGGCCUGUUAAGUCAGACGUGAAAUCCCUCGGCUCAACCGGGGAACUGCGUCUGAUACUGGCGGGCUUGAAUUCGGGAGAGGGAUGUGGAAUUCCAGGUGUAGCGGUGAAAUGCGUAGAUAUCUGGAGGAACACCUAUUGCGAAGGCAGCUCGCUGGGACGUAACUGACGCUGAGACGCGAAAGCGUGGGGAGCAAACAGG
rnacentral:rRNA from 1 species